rnacentral:rRNA from 1 species
UGAGUAACACGUGAGUAACCUGCCCUUGACUCUGGGAUAAGCCUGGGAAACUGGGUCUAAUACCGGAUAUGACCGUCCAUCGCAUGGUGGUUGGUGGAAAGCUUUUGUGGUUUUGGAUGGACUCGCGGCCUAUCAGCUUGUUGGUGGGGUAAUGGCCUACCAAGGCGACGACGGGUAGCCGGCCUGAGAGGGUGACCGGCCACACUGGGACUGAGACACGGCCCAGACUCCUACGGGAGGCAGCAGUGGGGAAUAUUGCACAAUGGGCGCAAGCCUGAUGCAGCGACGCCGCGUGAGGGAUGACGGCCUUCGGGUUGUAAACCUCUUUCAGUAGGGAAGAAGCCGCAAGGUGACGGUACCUGCAGAAGAAGCGCCGGCUAACUACGUGCCAGCAGCCGCGGUAAUACGUAGGGCGCAAGCGUUAUCCGGAAUUAUUGGGCGUAAAGAGCUCGUAGGCGGUUUGUCGCGUCUGCCGUGAAAGUCCGGGGCUCAACUCCGGAUCUGCGGUGGGUACGGGCAGACUAGAGUGAUGUAGGGGAGACUGGAAUUCCUGGUGUAGCGGUGAAAUGCGCAGAUAUCAGGAGGAACCCGAUGGCGAAGGCAGGUCUCUGGGCAUUAACUGACGCUGAGGAGCGAAAGCAUGGGGAGCGAACAGGAUUAGAUACCCUGGUAGUCCAUGCCGUAAACGUUGGGCACUAGGUGUGGGGGACAUUCCACGUUUUCCGCGCCGUAGCUAACGCAUUAAGUGCCCCGCCUGGGGAGUACGGCCGCAAGGCUAAAACUCAAAGGAAUUGACGGGGGCCCGCACAAGCGGCGGAGCAUGCGGAUUAAUUCGAUGCAACGCGAAGAACCUUACCAAGGCUUGACAUGAACCAGACCGGGCUGGAAACAGUCCUUCCCCUUUGGGGUUGGUUUACAGGUGGUGCAUGGUUGUCGUCAGCUCGUGUCGUGAGAUGUUGGGUUAAGUCCCGCAACGAGCGCAACCCUCGUUCCAUGUUGCCAGCGGGUAGUGCCGGGGACUCAUGGGAGACUGCCGGGGUCAACUCGGAGGAAGGUGGGGACGACGUCAAAUCAUCAUGCCCCUUAUGUCUUGGGCUUCACGCAUGCUACAAUGGCCGGUACAAAGGGUUGCGAUACUGUGAGGUGGAGCUAAUCCCAAAAAGCCGGUCUCAGUUCGGAUUGGGGUCUGCAACUCGACCCCAUGAAGUCGGAGUCGCUAGUAAUCGCAGAUCAGCAACGCUGCGGUGAAUACGUUCCCGGGCCUUGUACACACCGCCCGUCAAGUC